AGUGAACGCUGGCGGUAGGCCUAACACAUGCAAGUCGAACGGCAGCACAGUAAGAGCUUGCUCUUACGGGUGGCGAGUGGCGGACGGGUGAGGAAUACAUCGGAAUCUACUUUUUCGUGGGGGAUAACGUAGGGAAACUUACGCUAAUACCGCAUACAACCUACGGGUGAAAGCAGGGGAUCUUCGGACCUUGUGCGAUUGAAUGAGCCGAUGUCGGAUUAGCUAGUUGGCGGGGUAAAGGCCCACCAAGGCGACGAUCCGUAGCUGGUCUGAGAGGAUGAUCAGCCACACUGGAACUGAGACACGGUCCAGACUCCUACGGGAGGCAGCAGUGGGGAAUAUUGGACAAUGGGCGCAAGCCUGAUCCAGCCAUACCGCGUGGGUGAAGAAGGCCUUCGGGUUGUAAAGCCCUUUUGUUGGGAAAGAAAAGCAGCAGGUUAAUACCCCGCUGUUCUGACGGUACCCAAAGAAUAAGCACCGGCUAACUUCGUG
rnacentral:rRNA from 1 species